rnacentral:rRNA from 1 species
GACGAACGCUGGCGGCGUGCUUAACACAUGCAAGUCGAGCGAUGAAGUUUCUUCGGAAAUGGAUUAGCGGCGAACGGGUGAGGAACACGUGAAGAAUCUGCCCUCCACUUUGGGAUAACACCGGGAAACCGGUGCUAAUACUGAGUAUUGAAACAUAAGUGGCAUCACUGAGUUUUGAAAGAAUUUCGGUGGAGGAUGACUUCGCGGCCUAUCAGCUAGUUGGUGAGGUAAUGGCUCACCAAGGCAACGACGGGUAGCCGGCCUGAGAGGGCGACCGGCCACACUGGGACUGAGACACGGCCCAGACUCCUACGGGAGGCAGCAGUGGGGAAUAUUGGGCAAUGGAGGAAACUCUGACCCAGCGACGCCGCGUGCGGGAUGAAGGCCUUCGGGUUGUAAACCGCUUUCAGUAGGGAAGAAGCGAAAGUGACGGUACCUACAAAAGAAGCACCGGCUAACUAUGUGCCAGCAGCCGCCGUAA